rnacentral:rRNA from 1 species
GAUGAACGCUGGCGGCGUGCCUAAUACAUGCAAGUCGAGCGAACAGACGAGGAGCUUGCUCCUCUGACGUUAGCGGCGGACGGGUGAGUAACACGUGGAUAACCUACCUAUAAGACUGGGAUAACUUCGGGAAACCGGAGCUAAUACCGGAUAAUAUAUUGAACCGCAUGGUUCAAUAGUGAAAGACGGUUUUGCUGUCACUUAUAGAUGGAUCCGCGCCGCAUUAGCUAGUUGGUAAGGUAACGGCUUACCAAGGCAACGAUGCGUAGCCGACCUGAGAGGGUGAUCGGCCACACUGGAACUGAGACACGGUCCAGACUCCUACGGGAGGCAGCAGUAGGGAACUUUCCGCAGUGGGCGCAAGCCUGACGGAGCAACGCCGCGUGCGUGAUGAGGGUCUUCGGCUCGUAAAACUCUGUUAUUAGGGAAGAACAAAUGUGUAAGUAAAUAUGCACGUCUUGACGGUACCUAAUCAGAAAGCCACGGCUAACUACGUG